rnacentral:rRNA from 1 species
GAUGAACGCUGGCGGCGUGCCUAAUACAUGCAAGUCGAGCGAACGGACGAGAAGCUUGCUUCUCUGAUGUUAGCGGCGGACGGGUGAGUAACACGUGGAUAACCUACCUAUAAGACUGGUAUCACUUCGGGAAACCGGAGCUAAUACCGGAUAAUAUUUUGAACCGCAUGGUUCAAAAGUAAAAGACGGUCUUGCUGUCACUUAUAGAGGCAUCUGCGCUGCAUUAGCUGGUUGGGAAGGUAACGGCUUACCACGGCAACGAUGCGUAACCGACCUGAGAGGGUGAUCGGCCACACUGGAAGUGGGACACGGUCCAGGCGCCUGCGGGAGGGAGCAGUAGGGAAUCUUCCGCAAUGGGCGAAAGCCUGACGGAGCAACGCCGCGUGAGUUAUGGAGGUCCUCGGAUCGUAAAACUCUGUUAUUAGGGAAAAACAUAUGUGUAAGUAAAUGUGCACAUCUUGACGGUACCUAAUCAGAAAGCCACGGCUAACUACGUG